rnacentral:rRNA from 1 species
UACGUAGGGUGCGAGCGUUGUCCGGAAUUAUUGGGCGUAAAGGGCUCGUAGGCGGUUUGUCGCGUCGGGUGUGAAAACCUUGGGCUUAACUCAGGGCUUGCUUUCGAUACGGGCAGACUAGAGGUAUGCAGGGGAGAACGGAAUUCCUGGUGUAGCGGUGAAAUGCGCAGAUAUCAGGAGGAACACCGGUGGCGAAGGCGGGUCUCUGGGCCGAUACUGACGCUGAGGAGCGAAAGCGUGGGGAGCGAACAGG